AGAAAAAUAAUUAAAAUUUCCUUAUUACAACCCAAAACCAAACAAUAAUAUUAAUAAGAUAAAACUUAUAAAGAAAUAAAUCGACUACUUAUUGCAAUUAAAAGAAACAGAAACAGUAGUGUGGCCAUCUCCGAGUCCCUCGCAGCUCCAAACCAUCUAAGCUUAGGGAUUACCUGCACAGUUAAAAACGGGGUGAGUUUACGAAAACUUAGUGUGUAAUCUCAAUAACAAACAAACAGUGAAAAUACAAUAUCAGUACAAUCUGGGCCAAAGCCCUAUUUAGUCUUGACAUAUACUGGGCCGAAGCCUUUCGUUUAACGGUUACUGGGCCGAAGCCUUUUCAUAAAUCAUAUCAUUGGGCUGAAGCUUUUUCAUAAAUCAUUUCACUGGGCCGAAGCCUUUACUGUAAACGGUAUGGCCCAUAAGCCCAUUUCAAUAUCACAUGUAAUGUCAAUGGAUGUAUGCAAGCCCUUUUCAAUAUCAUAUGAAAUACCAAUGAAUGUAUGCAAGCCCAUUUGGGGAUACUACUCGACCCACCAUCCACUACUCUCCACCCGUACCAACCAACACACCAUGCGGGGAAUGAUUCAACCCACCCAACCAACACACCACUGGCAGCAUAGCUUCUUUAUCAUAUAUCUGGAGGCCUAGCCUCUUUUAAUAACUGGGGCAAAGCCCUUUUCGGUAAACUGGGGCAAAGCCCUUUUCAAUAAACUGGGGCAUAAGCCCUUUUCGGUAAACUGGGGCAUAAGCCCUUUUCAAUAAACUGGGGCAUAAGCCCUUUUGCACUUCCUCCAUCCAUAUAAAAACCCAACCCAAUGCAACAUGUCAUGUAUGCAGAAUGCCAUGCCCAUAUUUGAAUUAAACAAUCACAGUCAAGUUAUUCAUAUCACCAACAUAUAUUCACAAUCAAAUCCGUCAACCACACAGUCCAAGUCAGUCACUUGCCCACAAGGGCAAAACAGUCAUUUUCCACAUUAUAAGGGUAUUUUUGUAAUUUUACCAAAUAUCAGGGUUUUCCAUGUUCAUUACAAUUAUCAAUAUUUCCAAGUGUUUAAACAAUGAUCUUUAACCCACUUUAUCAAAUUCGGGCUUUUGGGCCCAAAACCCCUAAUAGGCCCCACGAAUGUUGAUUUAGCCUACUUAACCCAAAUUUUACAACAAUACUAACCGUGUUAACGUGCAACUUUUCCAAAUUCCAUUUUCUAUAAAUUCUACCCAAAUGGGUUCGAAAGCCCAUUGGGCCCAAUUUUAGCCCAUUGAGGCCCAAUUUACCAUCGUGCACAAAAUUGAGUUCUUACCUGUUCCAUCGAUCCAAACACCGAUCUUAUCGUAUUUAUUGCAUCUAUACCCAAACGCAACAUUACAAGUUCCCGAAAUACCGGUAUUUUAGCAUUUCGGCUUCUCAGCAAAUAUUAAUCUAAGCUAUUACGAGGGUUAGUACACACCUGUUACGGGUUGAAGUUGAAACGUUUCCAAAAUCAAUCGCCUACGAUAACCACCACCUGUCACUCAAACUUAACUAAUCCAAUAUCAAUAUAUGUAAAUCCUAAGCACAUCAGUCAUACGGAACAUAAGGGUAUAUUCAUUAUUUUACCAUAUAGGGGUAUUACGGUCACUUUACCCUACAGGGGCUUUACGGUCUUUUUACCUAAUAGGGAUAUUUUAGUCAUUUCAUCCUACCAGGGUGUUUUGGUAAAUCUACAAACUAAGGGUAUUUCAGUAAUUUUGUAAACUAAUGGUAUUUCUAUAAUUUUUAGAAAGUCAAGGGUAUUUUUGUAACUUUGUAAAUCAGGGGUAUUUUGGUAAUUUUACAAAUUGAGGGUAUUUCGGUAAUUUCACAAACCAGUGGUAUUUUGGUAAUUUUACAAACUAGGGGUAUUUUGGUAAUUUUACAAGUCGAAGGUAUUUCAGUAAUUUUACAAAUCGAGGGUAUUUCAGUAUUUUUACAAACUAAGGGUAUUUCGGUAAUUUUAGUAAACUAAAAUAUUCUAAACAGGGAUAACAAUACGAAUGGGCCUAAAGCCUAUUCUCGACCCAAAUGGGCCCACACGCUCGUGUGGCCCUUUUAGCCCAAAUCUAGCCACAAAUAUGAAAUUCACCUAGCCUAGUCCAAUAUUUACUACACAAUCAAACAACUUAUCCAAUUGGGCCCGUAGGCCCAUUGGGCCCACAUGACCCCUUUUGGCCUAUCGCGGCCCGAAGUAGCCAUCCUACAGCUAGAGUAGCGAGAAAAUACACACCUGAUAGGAGACUAGAGUUAAUCCACGCUCCGAGCACUCUUAGCCGACGCCCAACCCAAACGAGCACGCCAUAAAGCGAAAGGGAUC
rnacentral:lncRNA from 1 species